UGAUAAAUUGCUAGAGGAAAGGUCACGCCUUAUUUAUGGGCUUUGACUACCAGAUUGACAACUCUAAUUUGAUCAUAAUAACUAUUUACGAUGCUAUGAACAAAGGUUCAUGUAAUAUAGCCCAUCGUCGUAGGAUUGAUUAUCACUUUCAACAGAGGAAAAGGUUUUGACAUUUUUCCACACUUGGAGACACCAAAGACCAUGUUGGUCUACUUUGCCAGUAGUAUCCCUUGUACUUACCACAACAAGUAGUGUUGGAUCAAACGAGGUAUGGAUGGUGUCAUCUAGCCUUACAAACCGUAAUCAAGAUAAUGAAAGUGAAGAAGUAGAAUUAUAUGUAGAUGUUGUAGUCACAUUGUGUGGGGCCAUUGCGUAUGAAACGGAGUUUAGCAUGCAAGGACGUCAACCUAGACAUACAUUUGCACUAAAUUGUCAUGAUUAUAUGGUGGAACUACUAAAUGGUCAUCUUGCAAGAAUGUACAAUAAGUUUCGCAUGGGCAAACGAUGUUUCCAGACCUUAUGUUAUAUAUUGGCACAAGAAGGCGAAUUACGAGUAAUAAGCACAUGAGUAUUGAAGAGCAAGUUAUGAUAUUUUAUACAACAGUAGAGAAAAACAAGACACAUAGUACUUACAUGGAGGAUUACCAACAUUCUAGUGAGACAAUCUCUAGAUAUGUCUAUGCAGUUUGUGAUGUACUAUUAGAGUUGAAGUCAGAGUUUAUCAAGUCGUCUGACUCUAAUGAUGUUCCAUUGGAGAUAUCGACCAACCAAAACUAUUACCCUUUCUUUAAGGAUUGUAUUGGAGCGAUUGUACACAUGUACAUGCUUGGGCACCAAUUGAGGUAGUUGAAAUGUACUAGAAUCUUAAAGGAACAUUGUCGUAGAAUGUGAUGGUUGUAUGUGACUUCAAGAUGUUCACUUAUGUCGUCACUGGUCGGGAAGGAUCUGCCCAUGACUCAAGAAUUUUAAAUUUAGUUCUAGACAAUCCUGAUUCUGGUUUCCCGCAUCCUCCUUCAGGAAAAUAUUACUUAGUAGAUGCGGGUUAUGCGAACAGAGGUGAGUUCCUUGGCCCACAUAGACGAGUUCCCUACUAUGUUCUCGAUGUGUGUCGUAACCUUUCUAGACCCCUUCAGUUGUUUAAUUACAGACAUGCAUCGCUUUGGAAUGUUGUGGAGAGAACCUUUAGUGUUUUUAAAAAAAGGUUUCGUAUUCUUGAUGGCAUGAACAAUUACUCGUUGGAGACGCAAGGUAAAAUUGCUAUGGUAUGUUGUGUAAUUCACAAUUUUAUCAGAAGGUUCAAUAUGCAGACCCUAUUUUAGAAAAGUUUAAUGCCCAUAGAGUUUAUGAGGAAGGAUAUUUUGAUUUAGAAAACGGGGCAGAAACUGAAAGGAAUGGGGCAGGUUCGAAUCAACCGCAUCAACGUAAUACAGACAACAUGGGAACUCUAAGGAAUAAAUAACUAAUGCUAUGUGGGCACAACAUGAAUCCAUGUUGUAAUUGUUAGUUGAAUAUAAGUGUACGAAGGAUUCUAAGGGAUGAUUAUUAGUAGCUUCGUAUUAUUAAUAUAGAUAUGUAUUAAUGCCAUG